rnacentral:rRNA from 1 species
CGCGUAGGCGGGAACAUAAGUCAGAUGUGAAAUCCUGGAGCUCAACUCCAGAACAGCAUUUGAAACUAUAUUUCUUGAGGGUAGGCGGAGAAAACGGAAUCCCACAUGUAGCGGUGAAAUGCGUAGAUAUGUGGAAGAACAUCGGUGGCGAAGGCGGUUUUCUAGCUUAUUCCUGACGCUGAGGCGCGAAAGCAAGGGGAGCAAACA